rnacentral:misc_RNA from 1 species
AGUAUUGAUGCACUUUGUUUGAUGUUCAAGUUUAGGGGAAAAAAAUUACUAAAAUUUAUAUGGUGGAAAAUGUUUACCAGCCAUUUUGAUGAAUAUUACUGGACUUUUAAUUUUUAGAUAACUGAAGGAAAAAAAAAUGUUUUUGUACAUGUGUAGGGUCACUUUAAGUGUUGAACAUCACAAAACUUUCUUUAGUCAUCUUCAGCCAUUUUGUUGUUGAUAUUUUUAUUUUUUAGAUCCUCUUAGAUAGGUACUGUAAAAAGAAAGCGUCAUGCUGCUUAGAAGAUGUGAAGAAGUAGCAUUUUAUAGUGGGCAGCAAAUUAUCUGUACAUUUCAUACAUGUGAACUUGAUACUGUUAAGGCAUUACAAUAUCUGUAUAAACACUGCCACAGUUGUUUUUAAAAACAGUUGAAGACAAACUGUUUUUGUGGGUUACUGUUAACUUUAAGAGUCACAGAUCAAUUUAAAAUGUGUUUUCAACUUAAUCCUAAAUUGUGUUCAACUAUAUUUAACUAUACACUUGUUGUAUAUUAACAAUGAGUUUUCAUUGGAAUACAUUGUAUUUCAUUAUAGCUUUUUUUUUUACACAGAUAACUGACAAAUAAAAAAAAA